AGGUGGGUCUUGGUCCUUCUCCGUCUCUCGGGCCUCCCCGAUCUAGGUCAUUUGACUCUUUAGGUGGAAGCCCUUUUGUAUUUAAGCUGGUCCCAGCAGUUGGUGUCAUUGCAUUUGCUGCAUGGGGUCUUGGUCCACUCAUGCGCUUUGUUAGGGUUGUCUUUCUUCAUAAAAAUGACAACAGUUGGCAGAAGAGCAGUACACACUAUGUUAUGACAUCAUAUCUCCAACCUUUGAUAGUAUGGACUAGAAUGACACUCAUUUGCAGGUGCAUAAAUGAUUUUAUGAGUCUAGGUGUAUGUUCGCAUUUAUUCUAUUCCCAGCAAGUCUGUUUGUACUAAACUGAACUGGUUAUGUUACACAGCAUUGGAUCCAGUAGUUUUACCAACUGAAGCUAGUCAAGCUGUUAAGCAACGGCUUCUUAUUUUUGUUCGAUCAUUGUCGACUGUACUGGCUUUUGCAUUUUGUUUAUCAAGGUUCCGCUGAGAAAGUUAGCAAGAUAGGACUACGGUCGGAGUCUAUAGCAGUGUUGUUUGAUUGACCUAUCAACUAUCAAGAAUUGAAGAUAACAUGUCAAUGGAGGUUGAGGGAUGUGAGGAGAUGACUCCGAUCACAGAAUUUGAAUUGUCGGGCGAUGAAAAUGAAGAAGAGCCAUCCCCUAUCACGAGUGCGACAAACAAGG